GAUGAACGCUAGCGGGAGGCCUAACACAUGCAAGCCGAGCGGUAUUAUUUCUUCGGAAAUGAGAGAGCGGCGUACGGGUGCGGAACACGUGUGCAACCUGCCUUUAUCUGGGGGAUAGCCUUUCGAAAGGAAGAUUAAUACUCCAUAAUAUAUUGAACGGCAUCGUUUAAUAUUGAAAGCUCCGGCGGAUAGAGAUGGGCGCGCGCAAGAUUAGCUAGUUGGUGAGGUAACGGCUCACCAAGGCGAUGAUCUUUAGGGGGCCUGAGAGGGUGAUCCCCCACACUGGUACUGAGACACGGACCAGACUCCUACGGGAGGCAGCAGUGAGGAAUAUUGGUCAAUGGGUGCAAGCCUGAACCAGCCAUCCCGCGUGAAGGACGACUGCCCUAUGGGUUGUAAACUUCUUUUGUAUAGGGAUAAACCUACUCUCGUGAGGGUAGCUGAAGGUACUAUACGAAUAAGCACCGGCUAACUCCGUGCCAGCCGCCGCGGUAAGAC
rnacentral:rRNA from 1 species